GACGAACGCUGGCGGCGUGCCUAAUACAUGCAAGUAGGACGCAGUUGCGAACGGGUGAGUAACGCGUAGGUAACUACCUAUUAGAGGGGGAUAACUAUUGGAAACGAUAGCUAAUACCGCAUACUAGUAGAUGGACCUGCGUUGUAUUAGCUAGUAGGUAGGGUAAUGGCCUACCUAGGCAACGAUACAUAGCCGAGCUGGGGGGGUGAACGGCCACACUGGGACUGGGGAACGGCCCAAACUCCCUCGGGAGGCAGCAGUAGGGAAUCUUCGGAAAUGGGGGGAAACCUGACCGCACAACGCCGCGUGAGUGAAAGAGGUUUUCGGAUCGUAAAGCUAUGUUGUUAAGGAAGCGGUACUUAACCAGAAAGGGACGGCUAACUACGUGCCAGCAGCCGCGGUAAUUC
rnacentral:rRNA from 1 species